UACGAAGGGGGCUAGCGUUGCUCGGAAUCACUGGGCGUAAAGCGCACGUAGGCGGAUUGUUAAGUCAGGGGUGAAAUCCCGGGGCUCAACCUCGGAACUGCCUUUGAUACUGCAAAUCUCGAGUCCGGAAGAGGUGAGUGGAAUUCCUAGUGUAGAGGUGAAAUUCGAUAGAUAUUAGGAAGAACACCAGUGGCGAAGGCGGCUCACUGGUCCGGUACUGACGCUGAGGUGCGAAAGCGUGGGGAGCAAACAGGG
rnacentral:rRNA from 1 species